rnacentral:rRNA from 1 species
UUGAGCACACGGUCCCAACACUCCAUACGGGCAGCGCAGCUAAUAGGCGAAUCUUCGCGCAAUGGACUAAUUUCUGACCGAGCAACGCCGCGAUGAGUGAACAAGGUUUUCAGAUCAUAAAACUCUGUUGUUAGAGAAGAAUAAGGAUGAGAGUAACUGUUCAUCCCUUGACGGUAUCUAACACUGAAAGCCACGGCUAACUACGUGCCAGCAACCUCGGUAAUACAUAGGUGGCAAGUGUUGUCCGGAUUUAUUGUGCGUAAAGCGAGCGCACGCAGUUUCUUAGGUCUGAUGUGAAAGCCCCCAGCUCAACCGGGGAGGGUCAUUGGAAACUGGGAGACUUGAGUGCAGAAGAUUAGAUUGAAAUUCCAUGUGUAGCGCUCAAAUGCUUACAUUUAUAUACGAACACCUGUUGGCGAACGCCGCUCUCUAG